UUCCAGUUGCCCUAAAUAUUCCUCAGUUACUUUGAAGAACAGUUCUUCAUAAGGAGCUGUUUCCUGGCCUAUGCAGCAGGAAAGACAUGAGGAAGUGGGAUAAGAAGAGAGACCUGUGUAGAACAUAGGAAGCAGAACUUGAAAGGAAGUUGUAAAUAAGAGACAUAAAACUUCAGUAGUAGGUGAAACUCUGAAUGCUGUCAAUAAAACUAAAUAACCUGGUAAAGAACUUUAAGUGCUACAAAGCACUGACAUGAU